rfam:Weissella koreensis KACC 15510, complete genome.
GGACCUUUAGCUCAGUUGGUUAGAGCACACGGCUCAUAACCGUUCGGUCGUCGGUUCGAGUCCGACAGGGUCCA